rnacentral:lncRNA from 1 species
GGAUAAUAAUGGAGGACUCGUAAUAGACAGAGAAGGGGAAAGUUAUAGAUGAGGCAGAGGUUGCAGUUCCAAGAAAGACAAAUGAUGAGGGAGUAGAAGGGUUGGCGAAGGUCCGGUGUAUUGAUGUUUUGCAGAAAGGACCUUCCUCAGUAACAACUGCAUUUGUCUGUUCGUGUACACCGGAUCAUCUUGUUUAACUACUAUUUACUAGAUGGGAAUUUCUUAUAGAACAAUGAUAUUUAGCUACUCAUGGGCACAUUUUUCACUUGUUUAAAUGCUAUGGCUUGUAUGCCUUGGAAACAAAAACCAAUGAAACUUUGCACUGUGUGAAGCAGUUAGUUUCUAUAAAAUAAAU